UGUAUCCAUUCCUCUGUUGAGGGACAUCUGGG
rnacentral:piRNA from 1 species